AUGUGCGAGGCGGGAGGGGCCACGUGGGGAGUCUGUUUGUACCUUGCGGUUUCCUUGCUGGUCGGCGUGAGGGCGGGGCCGGCCCCGCGGGCGAGGAAGUAUACGUCUUGCGGGGAGAAAACAGGAAGGGGCCGGAAAGCGGCGGGUUCAUGUCAAAGGUUGCAAAACAAACACCUCCAAGUAAAGUGUCUUGCUUGACUUCUGCAGAGCUCCCGCCCUGCUGCUCCCUUCACAAUUCGUCCGUGCGCGGAGCAGGAGCCAGGGAACUGGCAGAGCGAGCGGCAAGCGGGAGAUUUGUUCAGCGAGAAAGAGAGACCCACAAAGCAGAGGAAAAACUGCCACAGCAGGCUACCUGAAACCAUUCCUCCAUAAUCACAUCCUUCUGACCUGAAGACUCCUGACUCGGGUUCCUUUGGCUUUUUCAGGGAGUACAAGUCCUUAUGUACACAAAUAAAUCCACACGAUUUUGUGAACUUAUAGGACUGGAGACUCAAUCAGUCCCUAUCCUACCACAACUUUUCAGAAACCUGCUGGGGCAAAAUCUUGAGUAUUUGGGAUUAUCAGUUGUUUCUUAAAAAAAUAAAAAUUGCUUUUAUCAACAGGGCUGGUCUUUAAAAAAGGUGGCAAAUCUUACCUAUUUUUCUUCUUGUACAAAUUGCUACAAAGAAUUGUUAUGUCUUCACAUUAAAACCUGCCCUACUUUUCAUUCUUUUUCUGCAUAUGAAAGAAUUUUGAAGACAAAAAACAACAGCUAAAGCCUAAUAUGAAGCCAAGUAAAAUCAAUGGGAGUCUGUCCAUUGAGUUAAAUGGACUUGGAUCAGGUCCCUAGUUAGAGCUGGUAGGCAUUGCAAUUGAAAUUUAAACUUUUAAUGGAAAUAAUUGAUUUCAAUGAAAAUUCACUGGGGAUGUUAGCUGGCUUCAAGAUGAAUUUUCUAUUCAAAACAAAGAAUCACCCCAGAAUAGUGAAGACAUUCUCUUGGGAAUAUGGGAUCCCAGGUUCAAGGCUCUAUUCUGCCUAAUUCAGAAACUUGAACCUGUUGCUCAUAUCCUAGCUUGGUGGUGGCCCUCCCUGAAAGCCAUACCAAUCUCUUUCUCUUGCCUGAUCUGUAGGGGUGCACCGAUAGAGAUUUUUGGGCCCAAUACUGAUAGCUGAUUUUUAAGGAGGCAUACUGGCCAAUACCGGUCCAAUUUCUGAUACAGUGUGGAGAGCUGCAUGCAGCUGAGCAACACCCCCACCGGGACAGACUGAUAUAAAGUUCCAGCUAAGUUUCAUUGACUGGUCACUCAAAUACAAUGUGUUCUCUCUGUUGACAAAUUGCAUUUAAAGAAAUAAAUGGGCUCUCUUAUUGUGGAUAAUUGAAUCAAUAUAAACUGUUGUAGAAACAGAAAUAACUCUCUCCUCUUAGAAUA